UUUUUUUUUUUUUGUCUUUUCUAGGGCCACUCCCACAGCAUAUGGAGGUUCCCAGUAUAGGGGUCGAAUCGGAGCUGUAGCUGCCAGCCAAUGCCAGAGCCACAGCAACACAGAAUCUGAGCUGCAUCUGCAAACUACACCACAGCUCAGGGCAACACCGGAUCCUUAACCCACUGAGCAAGGCCAGGCAUCGAACUCACAACCUUAUGGUUCCCAGUCGGAUUCAUUAACCACUGAGCCACUAUGGGAACUCCCAAAAUUGCAAAGCAUUAUUAAAAGCAAAGAUGAGGGAGUGUAGUCACAGGGUUAGUGACAACUUUCUGAUUGGCUGAUGAUGAGGUAAGAGGGCAAAGUCACAGGGAUUAAUGUGAUCAGUCCUUAAACUCCAGGAAACCUGGGAGCUCUGUGCCCAUGGUCGUCAAGUAGCUAACCUCUUCCAUUUGGUUGGGGGUAGGGAGUUGACAUAGUAAAACAACUCAGGAAAUGAGCACCAGAUACUAUUAGCUAGAUACUACAGAGAGAAGAGAAAGCAGAGGAUAUAAAGGAUGAGCUGGCCCAGGGAAUGCCCCUUAGCAUCCUACUGGACUUCAAGGCUUUUAGGGUAGAGCUAGGCUUUGGAAUUGAAUAGAGUUUCAAAAGGUAGAGGAUAGAUGCAAAGGCAUUUCCUAAAGAAAGAGGCAACUUAUAAAAGGAGAAUAUCUUGGCCUUGCUUGGGACACCAAUCAUGGAUAAGAAUUUCAGACAAAUUGAGGCUAAAUUGUAAACAGGGUCACAUGAAGAAGAGGGAUGGGGAUGUUUGCUAUGAUAUUUAGACUAAAUUUGGUAUCUACAGAAACCAUCAAUACUUUCUGAGUAGUGACAUGGAGGCACAAGAUUUUGUCCUCAUUCUUCAGGUUUCUGAGAGACAAGUGUGCCAUCAGCCCCUAUGUGGAGUAGAACAUGAGCCACUGCAGCUGCCAACCCACAGAACCCCCUGAGUGGAAAUCAGGGUGGAGACCAGGAGAGAGGUACUCUGUGCUCUGGGAAGCUGGAAGAAUGGGCUUUCAGGUAGUUGGAUAUUUUCAGGAGAAGAUUUUAUGAGCCCAAUUCUUACAUCUCCUCAUAUCCAGAGAAACACUAGGGUCCAUCAAUGAUGAUUAAUAUCUGUGACUUGUGGUGACCUACAUGAGACCAGCAGAGAACACCUGUAAAAUGUGUGCAUGGCUGCAUGCACCACCCCCUUCACCUUUAUGACUUAUAUCUUCCUGGGCUGUAGUUAGUGGCCUGAACAAAAGAUGUCGUGGUCACCUGUGAGAACAGCCACCUCCAAGGGUGGGCCAAUGAGCCCUGACAGAACUCAGGAAAGCAUAUCAAAGGAGUAAUUUCAGUAAUACCAGUCUUCCCAUAGAAAUGGUUUCCUGUAAAUCUUCUGUAAGUCUGGUUCUCUAUAAAUCUUGUGUUCCUACUACCUCCCAUUUGUUGCCAAAACUCAUAUAUCCUAGCUUCCCUCAUUGCCUCCUUGAAGUGGUUUCUCAGGGCUACCUAAGAUGCUGUCUCUGGAGUUUAAGUCCUAAUUUCACCCAAAAUAAAAUUUACCUCUCAACAUUCAUGUUGUAUUUUUUUAGUCAACACAAGAGUUCUGUAAGAGCAAUGAUUUCUUUUGACCAAGGUAGACAGUGACAGUAUGAAUGAAUGAUCUCCAUUAUUAAUCUAGCAAAUGACAGUCUCUUUCCCAGGCCGAUUUCAUUUCUUACCAAGAUUUUGAAUUAUUUGCUUCCACCUUGGGAUUAACUUUAUUAAAACAAACAAACAAACAAAAAUAAAAACCGUAAGUAUUGGUUACUUAUUUAUCUGUUCUUAUCAUUGCUGUCUUUUUAGUUCCCCACUUCUUUACAGAUUUAGGGUCCUGCUGCCCACUUCCUGCUGUUAUCAAGGUCAUAACAUACAUGGUUAUGAAGCACCCUUAUCCCCCCCGUUGCUGAGUAGAAGCUUAGUUCCACUGUAAACUAGAGAUGGGCACUCACCAUCUGCCUCUACAUGGAUUUAAUCAUGAGCUACUGCACUUGCUAACCCUCAACACCCCCUGAAAGAAGCUCAGGGUGAAGAUCAAGAGGGAGGCACCCCGUGCUUUGAGAAAACUGGCAGAACAUGUUUUAGAUAGUAAAUUAUUUUCUGGAAAAAUUUUAUGAGCCAAAUUCUUGCAUUUCCUUCUAUCUAGAAAAGCACUAAAAUCCUUCAUGGUGGUAUCUGCUCCUUGUGACUAGAAGCAACCUUUAAGAAACUACAGCAAACUUCCUCAAUUUGUGUGCUUGAGUGCUUGUACAUUUCUCUUCACCAAAAUCACAUAUAUACUGACAUUCCCCCUUACCCCUUUAGAGCAGCUUUUGAGAGCUGUCUGAAAUGCUGCCACCCAGGCUGCAGUUCUCAUUUUGCCUCCAAUAAAACUUAACUGUCAACUUUUAACUUGUGCAUAUUUUUAAGUUGACACCACUAACCUCUAAGGAAAAAAAAAGUUCUUAUCACUGAGAUUCCCCAAAAAAGUCCCAAGAUAUGUAUUUUAUUUUCUUAAAUAUUAAGAAAUAUGAAGGGUAAAACAUUUGGAUUUGGAAAUGACACCUAAUAUAUACAUAUUUAACAUUUUAAAGUUGAAGAUGCUGACAUAGUGUAACUUGCCUAAAACUAAUGGACUGGACUCUAGAAAAAGAAUCAUUAAAGUGUAAUUAAACCCACUUUUCUUAGUUCUCUCUCUAGCUAAAUAUUGUAAUGAAUGUAUUAGAAAUUGCUUCUAUAAACCUAGAAAGCAUGGGGAUUUUUUGAUUCAUGGUAGUAGAUGUUUAAUCCUUCAGUGAAAUUAGAUGAACUCAGGGAACUAUAAAUGUUCAUGACUAAAAACAAGAGAUUUGUAGUCAGAUGUGCAUUCUCAUCUCAGCAAGUCAGUCUACUUAGCUCGUUGAAUUUGAGAAAAUUGCUUAUUCUCUUUAAGUUCAGUAUCUUCAGCUGUAUAAUGGGCUUAGGAAUAUUAACUUGAGGUUUUGUUUUGUUUUGUUUUUUGCCACAUUGCUGCAUAAAGAUGUUUUGGGGCAAGGGGUCAAAUCUGAGCCACAGCUGCAGCAAAAUAGAUUCUUAACCCACUCCCACUGUGCUGGGUUGGGGAUCAAACCCAUACCUCAGCAGUAAUGCAAGCCACACAGACAAUGCCUGAUCCUUAAAUGCUGUGCUACCCAGGAACUCUUAAGUUUUUAAAAUGAGUUUCUAAUGUGUCUCAAAUUGAUAUUGUUUGCCCAUGGUCUUUUCUUUUUCUUAAAAAUGUGUAUGUGUGUGUGUGUACACACAUAUAUAUUUAGAAAAACAUACAUAUAUUUUUUUAAAAAAUCAGGAAAAGGGAGACCAAAAUAUUGUUUUCUUUCAGAUGAAUGUAUGAUCACUGCAAUUAAUCCAUGUGGUAAAAUAAGCCCUUGCUGAAGUGGUGACCAAGUAAAAUGAAUGACUAACUUACUCUUUUAUGCAGCUCUUUCUUCUUAGUGAUGGCAGUACUGAGGGAGCAUGGUACCCAACAAUGCAUGGCAAGCAGUAGGCAAGGUC
rnacentral:lncRNA from 1 species